rnacentral:rRNA from 1 species
AUUGAACGCUGGCGGCAUGCCUUACACAUGCAAGUCGAACGGCAGCACGGGUGCUUGCACCUGGUGGCGAGUGGCGAACGGGUGAGUAAUACAUCGGAACAUGUCCUGUAGUGGGGGAUAGCCCGGCGAAAGCCGGAUUAAUACCGCAUACGAUCUACGGAUGAAGGCGGUGGACCUUCGGGCCUCGCGCUAUAGGGUUGGCCGAUGGCUGAUUAGCUAGUUGGUGGGGUAAAGGCCUACCAAGGCGACGAUCAGUAGCUGGUCUGAGAGGACGACCAGCCACACUGGGACUGAGACACGGCCCAGACUCCUACGGGAGGCAGCAGUGGGGAAUUUUGGACAAUGGGCGAAAGCCUGAUCCAGCAAUGCCGCGUGUGUGAAGAAGGCCUUCGGGUUGUAAAGCACUUUUGUCCGGAAAGAAAUCCUUGGCUCUAAUACAGUCGGGGGAUGACGGUACCGGAAGAAUAAGCACCGGCUAACUACGUG